GACGAACGCUGGCGGCGUGCUUAACACAUGCAAGUCGAACGGAAAGGCCCUGCUUUUGUGGGGUGCUCGAGUGGCGAACGGGUGAGUAACACGUGAGUAACCUGCCCUUGACUUUGGGAUAACUUCGGGAAACUGGGGCUAAUACCGGAUAGGAGCUCCUGCUGCAUGGUGGGGGUUGGAAAGUUUCGGCGGUUGGGGAUGGACUCGCGGCUUAUCAGCUUGUUGGUGGGGUAGUGGCUUACCAAGGCUUUGACGGGUAGCCGGCCUGAGAGGGUGGCCGGCCACAUUGGGACUGAGAUACGGCCCAGACUCCUACGGGAGGCAGCAGUGGGGAAUAUUGCACAAUGGGCGGAAGCCUGAUGCAGCAACGCCGCGUGCGGGAUGACGGCCUUCGGGUUGUAAACCGCUUUCGCCUGUGACGAAGCGUGAGUGACGGUAAUGGGUAAAGAAGCACCGGCUAACUACGUGCCAGCAGCCGCGGUGAUACGUAGGGUGCGAGCGUUGUCCGGAUUUAUUGGGCGUAAAGGGCUCGUAGGUGGUUGAUUGCGUCGGAAGUGUAAUCUUGGGGCUUAACCCUGAGCGUGCUUUCGAUACGGGUUGACUUGAGGAAGGUAGGGGAGAAUGGAAUUCCUGGUGGAGCGGUGGAAUGCGCAGAUAUCAGGAGGAACACCAGUGGCGAAGGCGGUUCUCUGGGCCUUUCCUGACGCUGAGGAGCGAAAGCGUGGGGAGCGAACAGGCUUAGAUACCCUGGUAGUCCACGCUGUAAACGGUGGGUACUAGGUGUGGGGUCCAUUCCACGGGUUCCGUGCCGUAGCUAACGCUUUAAGUACCCCGCCUGGGGAGUACGGCCGCAAGGCUAAAACUCAAAGGAAUUGACGGGGCCCCGCACAAGCGGCGGAGCAUGCGGAUUAAUUCGAUGCAACGCGUAGAACCUUACCUGGGUUUGACAUGGAUCGGGAGUGCUCAGAGAUGGGUGUGCCUCUUUUGGGGUCGGUUCACAGGUGGUGCAUGGCUGUCGUCAGCUCGUGUCGUGAGAUGUUGGGUUAAGUCCCGCAACGAGCGCAACCCUUGUUCACUGUUGCCAGCACGUUAUGGUGGGGACUCAGUGGAGACCGCCGGGGUCAACUCGGAGGAAGGUGGGGAUGACGUCAAGUCAUCAUGCCCCUUAUGUCCAGGGCUUCACGCAUGCUACAAUGGCUGGUACAGAGAGUGGCGAGCCUGUGAGGGUGAGCGAAUCUCGGAAAGCCGGUCUCAGUUCAGAUUGGGGUCUGCAACUCGACCUCAUGAAGUCGGAGUCGCUAGUAAUCGCAGAUCAGCAACGCUGCGGUGAAUACGUUCCCGGG
rnacentral:rRNA from 1 species